rnacentral:tRNA from 1 species
CAUCCUAGAGCUUGUUUAAGCAUUUUAUUUACAUUAAGAAGUAUACUGUGAAAGUCAGUUUAGUUUGA